GGAUUCCAAAUGCUCUAAGAUCUUUCACUUUACUUAAGCUGCAAAUCAACUCACAUCUUAGAAUGUCAUUUGAAAAACAGAAAUCCCAGUGUUUGGAAGCCAAAGACAUUGGCUGAUAAAUAAUUUAACAUGAGAAAUACACUCAUGUAGCUUUAGAACUGGAGAGACCAUAAGAGGCUCUCAACUGAAAUUCAAGGUAAAUUGACUACUGGGAUUCCCUUGAA
rnacentral:lncRNA from 1 species